UACGGGGGGGGCAAGCGUUGUUCGGAAUUACUGGGCGUAAAGGGCUCGUAGGCGGCCAACUAAGUCAGACGUGAAAUCCCCAGGCUCAACCUGGGAACUGCGUCUGAUACUGGAUGGCUUGAAUCCGGGAGAGGGAUGCAGAAUUCCAGGUGUAGCGGUGAAAUGCGUAGAUAUCUGGAGGAAUACCGGUGGUGAAGGCGGCAUCCUGGACCGGCAUUGACGCUGAGGAGCGAAAGCCAGGGGAGCAAACGGG
rnacentral:rRNA from 1 species